GCAAGUCGAGGGGCAGCAGGACACUUCGGUGUUGCUGGCGACCGGCGAACGGGUGCGUAACACGUAUGCAAUCUACCUUGUACUGGGGAAUAGGUCUCGGAAACGAGAAUUAAUACCCCAUAUAAUCCUAACAGCGCAUGCUGAUAGGAGGAAAGCUCCGGCGGUACAAGAUGAGCAUGCGUCCCAUUAGCUAGUUGGUAAGGUAACGGCUUACCAAGGCAACGAUGGGUAGGGGGCCUGAGAGGGUGGUC
rnacentral:rRNA from 1 species